CCUACGGGAGGCAGCAGUAGGGAAUCUUCCACAAUGGACGAAAGUCUGAUGGAGCAACGCCGCGUGAGUGAAGAAGGGUUUCGGCUCGUAAAACUCUGUUGUUAAAGAAGAACAUAUCUGAGAGUAACUGUUCAGGUAUUGACGGUAUUUAACCAGAAAGCCACGGCUAACUACGUGCCAGCAGCCGCGGUAAUACGUAGGUGGCAAGCGUUGUCCGGAUUUAUUGGGCGUAAAGCGAGCGCAGGCGGUUUUUUAAGUCUGAUGUGAAAGCCUUCGGCUCAACCGAAGAAGUGCAUCGGAAACUGGGAAACUUGAGUGCAGAAGAGGACAGUGGAACUCCAUGUGUAGCGGUGAAAUGCGUAGAUAUAUGGAAGAACACCAGUGGCGAAGGCGGCUGUCUGGUCUGUAACUGACGCUGAGGCUCGAAAGUAUGGGUAGCAAACAGGAUUAGAUACCCUGGUAGUCCAUACCGUAAACGAUGAAUGCUAAGUGUUGGAGGGUUUCCGCCCUUCAGUGCUGCAGCUAACGCAUUAAGCAUUCCGCCUGGGGAGUACGGCCGCAAGGCUGAAACUCAAAGGAAUUGACGGGGGCCCGCACAAGCGGUGGAGCAUGUGGUUUAAUUCGAAGCUACGCGAAGAACCUUACCAGGUCUUGACAUACUAUGCAAAUCUAAGAGAUUAGACGUUCCCUUCGGGGACAUGGAUACAGGUGGUGCAUGGUUGUCGUCAGCUCGUGUCGUGAGAUGUUGGGUUAAGUCCCGCAACGAGCGCAACCCUUAUUAUCAGUUGCCAGCAUUAAGUUGGGCACUCUGGCGAGACUGCCGGUGACAAACCGGAGGAAGGUGGGGAUGACGUCAAAUCAUCAUGCCCCUUAUGACCUGGGCUACACACGUGCUACAAUGGAUGGUACAACGAGUUGCGAACUCGCGAGAGUAAGCUAAUCUCUUAAAGCCAUUCUCAGUUCGGACUGUAGGCUGCAACUCGCCUACAUGAAGUCGGAAUCGCUAGUAAUCGCGGAUCAGCAUGCCGCGGUGAAUACGUUCCCGGGCCUUGUACACACCGCCCGUCACACCAUGAGAGUUUGUAACACCCAAAGUCGGUGGGGUAACCUUUUAGGAACCAGCCGCCUAAGGUGGGACAGAUGAUUAGGGUG
rnacentral:rRNA from 1 species